rnacentral:rRNA from 1 species
GGAGGAAAUUUAAUGACGGUACCCGAUGAAUAAGCAUCUCCUAACUCUGUGCCAGCAGGAGCGGUAAUACAGAGGCCCCGAGCAUUAUCCGGAAUCAUUGGGCGUAAAGGGUAUGUAGGCGGCCAAAUUAGUCGCUCGUCAAAUCUCGGGGCUUAACCUAGAAAAGGCAAGGGAAACGGCAUGACUAGAGGGAGAUAGAGGCAGGAGGAAUUCCAGGUGGAGGGGUGAAAUCCGUAGAUAUCAG